rnacentral:rRNA from 1 species
AACGAACGCUGGCGGCAUGCCUAACACAUGCAAGUCGAACGAGACCUUCGGGUCUAGUGGCGCACGGGUGCGUAACGCGUGGGAACCUGCCCUUAGGUUCGGAAUAACUCCCCGAAAGGGGUGCUAAUACCGGUUAAUGUCUUCGGACCAAAGAUUUAUCGCCUUUGGAUGGGCCCGCGUUGGAUUAGCUAGUUGGUAGGGUAAAAGCCUACCAAGGCGACGAUCCAUAGCUGGUCUGAGAGGAUGCUCAGCCACACUGGGACUGAGACACGGCCCAGACUCCUACGGGAGGCAGCAGUGGGGAAUAUUGGACAAUGGGCGAAAGUCUGAUCCAGCAAUGCCGCGUGAGUGAUGAAGGCCUUAGGGUUGUAAAGCUCUUUUACCCGGGAUGAUAAUGACAGUACCGGGAGAAUAAGCUCCGGCUAACUCCGUG